rnacentral:rRNA from 1 species
CUUGGUGGCGCCGGCGCACGGGUGGGUAACGCGUAUGCAACUUACCUAUCAGAGGGGGAUAGCCCGGCGAAAGUCGGAUUAAUACCCCAUGAAACAGGGGUCCCGCAUGGGAAUAUUUGUUAAAGAUUCAUCGCUGAUAGAUAGGCAUGCGUUCCAUUAGGCAGUUGGCGGGGUAACGGCCCACCAAACCGACGAUGGAUAGGGGUUCUGAGAGGAAGGUCCCCCACAUUGGUACUGAGACACGGACCAA